rnacentral:rRNA from 1 species
CCUACGGGAGGCAGCAGUGAGGAAUAUUGGUCAAUGGACGAGAGUCUGAACCAGCCAAGUCGCGUGAAGGAUGACUGCCCUAUGGGUUGUAAACUUCUUUUAUAUUGGAAUAAAAUGUUCCACGUGUGUGAUUUUGUAUGUACCAUAUGAAUAAGGAUCGGCUAACUCCGUGCCAGCAGCCGCGGUAAUACGGAGGAUCCGAGCGUUAUCCGGAUUUAUUGGGUUUAAAGGGAGCGUAGGUGGAUUGUUAAGUCAGUUGUGAAAGUUUUCGGCUCAACCGUAAAAUUGCAGUUGAAACUGGCAGUCUUGAGUACAGUAGAGGUGGGCGGAAUUCGUGGUGUAGCGGUGAAAUGCGUAGAUAUCACGAAGAACUCCGAUUGCGAAGGCAGUUCACUGGACUGCAACUGACACUGAGGCUCGAAAGUGUGGGUAUCAAACAGGAUUAGAUACCCCUGUAGUC